ensembl:lncRNA
CAGUUCUGCCCCCCACUCCCCAGGGGUCUCAGACCCCAAUCCUCCUGGGGUCAGCAGGUUUGGGGUUGCCCUGGGGGUCUGGCUCCUGCUGUGGGGCUGGGUUCUGCUAUAGGGCCGGGUCCCGCUAUUGGUCUGGGUCCUCCUAUGGGUCUGGGGGCUCGCUGUGGGUCUGGAGAUGCACGGGGAUCUGCUAUGGGGCUGGGACUUCUUUAUGGGUCUGGGUCCCACUGUGGGGCCAGAUUCCACCGUGAGUCUGCAUUCCUCUAUGGGUCUGGGUAUGUCCUAUGGGGAUGGGGUUCUUCUAUGGGGCUGGAGACACUUAUGGGGCUGGGGGCUCAUUGUGGGUUUGGGGAUCUUCUAUGGGGUUGAGUCCCACUGUGGGGCCAGGUUCCGUUACAGGUUUGGAGUCUGCUAUGGGUCUGGGGUUCUCCUAUGGGGCUGGGGCUCUGCUAUGGAUUGUUGGGGGGUGGUGACACUUACAGGGAUGGGGUUUUUCUAUAGGGUUGGGGUUUUGCUCUAAGGUCUGAUUUUCCCUAUGGUUAUAGGUCUUGCUAUAGGGCUGGAUUUCUCUAUGUGUCUGGAGUUCCGCUAUGGGUUUUGGGGGUACCCUUUGGGGCUGGGGGUCAGUUAUGGGUCUAGAGGUUUUCUAUGGGGCUGGGCCCCGCUGUGGGGAUGGGGGCCUGCUAUGGGGACAUUUAUAGGGUUCACUAUGGGGCUGGGGCUUCCUUAUGGGUCUGACUCCUUCUGUGGGUCUGGGAGCUCCCUUUGGGGCUGGAAGCUGCUGCUGCUGUAGGGCUGACUGUAUGGGGGGGUCUGCUAUGGAGCUGGGUAUUUGCUCUGGGUGUGGGGUUCCCCUAUGGGGCUGGGGGUUUCCUGCAGGUAUGGGGCUGGGGUUCUCCUGGGGUCUAGGGUUCUCCUAUAGAAAUGGGUUUAUCUGUAGAGAUGAAACUAGCUAUGGGGGCUGUGCCCCACAGACCACUGACCCCAUCGUGCUCCCCACUCCCCCACAGCCAUGUGUCUUUGCCUCAAAUUCCUCGGGUGUUCAGGACCCCAACCCUCUCCUGCAGAAGAACCCGGUGGUGGAUUGCAGCGUGGCCACCUGCCGGGAGUGGCACUGUCCGUGGGGCGGCGCGCUGCUCCCCGGGGGCGUGGAGUUCAGCGUUGUGGGGCGGCUGCGGCGGGACUGGGUGCAGCAGCUGCCCCUCCCCCACGUGGAACUGCAGAGCUCCGUUCAGCUGCAGCCCCAGGGGGGGCGCUACCGGAAUGUGGGCCGGGACCGCCUGGAGGUGGGCGGGGCUUUGGGAGGGGGGCCCCAAUGAGCCCCGUGGAGCGCGUGGAGGGACGCAGAGCCCUAUAAAGUCUGUAGAGCCCCACGCACCGUGCUGAGCACGUGAAAGCUCGUGGAACCCGUUGCCCCGCAGAGCCCUAUAGACCCCAUAGCACCCAUAAACCCUACAGAGCCCCGUAGACCCCAUAGAGCCCAUUGGGCGGGCGCACGGAGCCCUAUAGAGCCCGUAGCUCCUCACGGACCCCAUAGCAACCCGUAGAUCCCCCGGAGCCUCACACGGCCCUGCAGAGCCCGCAGACCCAAUGAAGCCCCGUAGUUCCCACCGAGCCCCACCCCCCGGCUGACCCCGCCCC